UACGUAGGGGGCAAGCGUUGUCCGGAAUCAUUGGGCGUAAAGAGCGUGUAGGCGGUCCGGUCAGUCGGUUGUGAAAGUCAAGGGCUCAACCCUUGAAUGCCGGCCGAUACUGCCGGGCUAGAGUCCGGAAGAGGUGAGUGGAAUUCCUGGUGUAGCGGUGAAAUGCGCAGAUAUCAGGAAGAACACCAAUGGCGAAGGCAGCUCUCUGGGACGGUACUGACGCUGAGACGCGAAAGCGUGGGGAGCGAACAGG
rnacentral:rRNA from 1 species